GUGAACCUUCAUUAUACUGUUUUCCAGAACUAGAAAAUAAGAUACUAAAAAAACAACAACAACCCAGGACUGAAGCGCAAGAGGGACCUGGCCAAGGAAGCCCAGCUACAAAGGCCCCGGCUAUUGUAAAUAAAACAUCCCAGUAAGAGCACUCCGCAGGCAGCUACAGUGGAAAGGUCCAAGGGAGGAAGUCCUGCCUCAGUCCUCCAGGGCAGACCACAAGGACAGGAAGUGGGGGGGAACAGUAAAGGAAAGAGCACAUAUGAAUUCCUCAGCCUCCUCUUAUGGUAAGGUCAGCACAGAAGCCCUGCACCCAGAGAAAUUUCUCCGAAACUCUCCAACCUUCAAUGGAGAGGUUGCGAAAGGGCAGAUGUAGGAGUAACACACCAUGAACAAGAUGCACAAGCGCUGUGAGCUGGAGAACCGGAAGACAGCUGAACAAGAAAUGGACUAUAUGUGAAAUGAGUGAAAAAACAGCUACAUUUUUUUAGAUUUUGCAACAAAAUGAUAGUUUAUCCUUGUCAUAAGUUAAAUAGAUUGUUAAAAUAAAAGAGAGGAGAUAGUUGUCAGCAUGGGUUAGAUCUGAGACUUACUGCAGAUGGCAGCAAUAAAUUGGAGGCUUAUCUCAAGAUGCCAGAGCUGGCAUGUUUUGCUGCCAACAACU